GACGAACGCUGGCGGCGUGCCUAAUACAUGCAAGUAGGACGCAGUUGCGAACGGGUGAGUAACGCGUAGGUAACUACCUAUUAGAGGGGGAUAACUAUUGGAAACGAUAGCUAAUACCGCAUACUAGUAGUUGGACCUGCGUUGUAUUAGCUAGUAGGUAGGGUAAUGGCCUACCUAGGCAACGAUACAUAGCCGACCUGAUGAGGUGACCGGCCACACUGGGACUGAGACACGGCCCAGACUCCUACGGGAGGCAGCAGUAGGGAAUCUUCGGCAAUGGGGAGAACCCUGACCGCGCAACGGCGCGUGAUUGAAGAAGGUUUUCGGGUCGUAAAGCUCUGUUGUUAAGGAAGCGGUACUUAACCAGAAAGGGACGGCUAACUCCGUGCCAGCAGCCGCGGUAAUUC
rnacentral:rRNA from 1 species